ensembl:lncRNA LINC02660 long intergenic non-protein coding RNA 2660
CUUUGAGCAAGAGGACAAACCUGGGUAGGGAUCUCUAUGAUGUUUUCUGCGUUGCCCGUGGACGUUCAUCUUUCUGAUUUGUUAGCUGAAGAUGAGGAUCUGGAGCAGGAGCUCGGAGUGCCAUUGUUCCAUGGGCAGAUGUGCAGCAGAGAUUGUUGAGCUUGCCUGGCCCAAGGCACAGAGUUCUGGGAAGGAUGGAAGAGAGGGGAAGGGAGAGCACCAACAUCACGGACCGCCUUUCACAUCAGCGGCAGCAGCAGUAAAACCCCCAGAAAACCUGGGGUAGGCGUGGGGGUCUGUUUAGAUCAGCCCUGGAGGCAGCCUCCCAUGUCCCUCCUGGACAUUUGUUCACCUUCACAGAACCCACUUCUUUCCCAUCGUCUGUUCGGAUAUCUGUUUCCUGCACCGGGCAGGUAGCACAGCACACUCAGGGGUUUCUCUGACUCACCUUGGCAGCCCCAGCCCUCAGCACACUGCCUACCACUUAGUAUUUAGAGAACCUAUGCCCUUUGAAAAAAGUAGGUAAAUAGUAAAAUAUUAUUUUUACCAUUGGAA